rnacentral:rRNA from 1 species
GAUGAACGCUGGCGGCGUGCUUAACACAUGCAAGUCGAACGGAAAGGCCCUGCUUGUGUGGGGCGCUUGAGUGGCGCACGGGUGAGUAACACGUGCGUAACUUGACCUUGACUUUCGGAUAACUUCAGGAAACUGGGGCUAAUACCGGAUAGGCGCUCCUGCUGCAUGGUGGGGGUUGGAAAGUUUCGGCGGUUGGGGCUGGACUGGCGGCUUACCAGCUUGUAGGUGGGGUAGUGGCUUACCAAGGAUUUGACGGGUAGUCGGCCUGAGAGGGUGACCGGCCACAUUGCGACUGAGAUACGGCGCAGACUCCUACGGGAGGCAGUAGUGGGAAAUAUUGCAGAAUGAGCGGAAGCGUGAUGCAGCAACGCGGCGUGAGGAAUGAAGGCCUUCGGGUUGUAAACCGCUUUCGCCUGUGACGAAGCGAGAGUGAAGGUAAUUGGUAAAGAAGCACCGGCUAACUACGUG